AAAGCUCGUAGUUGAAUUUCGAGAUCAGUACGCUGGUCGUGCCUUCGGUAUGCACUGGUGUCACUGGUUUCUCCCUUCUGAAGAACCGUCAUGUCAUUAAGUUGGUGUGGCGGGGAAUCAGGACUGUUACUUUGAAAAAAUUAGAGUGUUUAAAGCAGGCUCGCGCUUGAAUACAUUAGCAUGGAAUAAUGAAAUAGGACGUUUGACCCUAUUUUGUUGGUUUCUAGGAUCGACGUAAUGAUUAAUAGGGAUAGUUGGGGGCAUUAGUAUUCAAUUGUCAGAGGUGAAAUUCUUGGAUUUAUUGAAGACUAACUACUGCGAAAGCAUUUGCCAAGGAUGUUUUCAUUAAUCAAGAACGAAAGUUAGGGGAUCGAAGACGAUCAGAUACCGUCGUAGUCUUAACCAUAAACUAUGCCGACUAGGGAUCGGAUGAUGUUA
rnacentral:rRNA from 1 species